rnacentral:miRNA from 1 species
UGUUGAGCCAAUGUGACGCC